GAUGAACGCUGGCGGCGUGCCUAAUACAUGCAAGUCGAGCGAACAGACGAGACUGCUUGCACUCUCUGACGUUAGCGGCGGACGGGUGAGUCACACGUGGGUAACCUACCUAUAAGACUUGGAUAACUUCGGCAAACCCUAGCUAAUACCAGAUAAUCUUUAUCUUUGCAUGAAGCAAUAGUGAAAGACGGUUCUGCUAUCACCUAUAGAUUUACCCGCUGUGUAUUGGCUAGUUGGUUAGGUAACGGCUCACCAAGGGACCGAGACAUAACCGAACUGAGAGGGUGGUAGGCCACACGGGGGGUGGAACGCGGCCAAGGCGCCUGCGGGAGGGAGCAGUAGGGAAUCGGACGCAAUGGACGAAAGUAUGACGGAGCAAGGGCGCGUGAGUGAAGAAGGUGUUCGGAUCGUAAAACUGUGUUGUAAGGGAAGAACAAGUACGUUAGUAACUGAACGGAGAGUGACGGUAACUGAUCAGAAAGCCACGGCUAACUACGUG
rnacentral:rRNA from 1 species